rnacentral:miRNA from 1 species
CACGGAUUAUUGACAUGGC